GGAAACUGGAUGUUCUCCUAAAACAGCCACCUAGCCAAGCUGAACCAACAGAGAUGUAUUGAUCACCGGGUCAAUGGAACUAGGUGGGUGCUGGGGGGAAAGUCAGCAGGUAAGUCAGGUGAGGACUGCCUCCCUUCCACUCCCCACCCAGAGACUGAAGACAGACAGACAGACAGAGGCGUUCAUUCAGAAAGAAGUAGGAGGGCUUCAGGGAUUCAGCGGAGGAGACUGAAAGCCUGAGAGACGAUGCCUCUGAGAAGGUUACAGACCUUGGGAGAAAGCGCUUUCACCUCCUCACCACAGACACUCUCGACUGUGGACUCAGGACACUAAGCCAGAAAGGUGACGAUUUCCUUCUUGAACCCGGCCUGCAUCAGCAGCUCAGACCCAGGGCUCCGGGUCCUUUGCUCUAUGUCCAGUGCUCUUUUUGCUCCCUCACACACUUAGCGAUGGCAGUGUUCUUAGUAUACUCAAAGAGCUUUGUAAUGAAUUAGAGCAGCCAUUCCCAACCUUCCUAGUGCUGCGGUCCUUUAAUACAGUUUCUUAAGUUGUGGCGAACCAUCCCCCCCACCCCCAACCAUAACAUUAUUCUUGCUGCUGCUGUUAUGAAUCGUAAUGAAACAUUUGAUCUGCAGUACAUCUGAUAUGUGAUUCCCGAGAAAGGGCCAUCAUAUUCCAAGGGAUCGGGACCCACAGCGUGAGAAGCCCUGAACUAGAGAUCCGCCUAAACUGAGAAACAACCUAGCACCUAUCCCAGCCCAUCAAUGUUGUAUAUGGCAACAGAUUCAAAAGCCCAGACUAAAACAUACUCACCAUCCAUGUUACCAGCUCUCACCAUGGGGCAGCAAUGUGGAUUUAGUAAGCAUAGCCCACGGGCACUCAUUUUGAAGACACUAGGAGAACUUCAAAGCCAGGUUUGUUCUUCUGCCUCUGGUGACAUUUUUAAAAUUUCAGCACUGUUUUUUUUUUUAAUUGAUUCUUUGUGAAUUUCAUAUCAUGCACCUCAGUCCUGCACAUCUCCUGUCCCCUCCCUCCCUCCAACCUCCACCCUUCCCCAACAAAGAAAAAUAAGUCCCCACUAUGGAAGCUGUAGUGUGCCAUCGUGUGUCCUUUUGUCCACACUUCUUUGCUUGCAAGUGCUCAUUGCAUUGACUUUGUUGGUCUGGUACGAGUCAGGCCUCUGGCUUCUGCUAUGCUAACGAUGCUAGAACCUUACUGAGACUCCUCUAGGGUAGACUGUUGUCACCCCGUGUGUCAUGGAGACCCUGUAGUUUUGGAUCUGCAGGACUGGCUUCUUCACGUACUCCAGCAGUUCAUUGAUGGGAUAGACGUGGGGUGGGCUAACUCAAAGCCCUGGAUCUGGGCCUGAGAGGUGUCUGAGCUGCUCAGCCCACCAGCUCUCCAGUUCUUGUGGCCUUUGGAUUGGCUCGCCAGCAACCCCCUCUCCCAGGGCUAGCUCUCCUGGCUGACCAGGAACCUGACAAGACUGACUAGCCAUCUCUAGCAUUCAGAUAGGUGGAACUUCAUUGUGCUGAAGUUAUGUUUGAGCACCCUCUGCUGGACAAAUCAGAUGCUCUAUGACUACCAACAAUGUACCAGUGGUAUUCGUCUCUUGCAGAUCUGGAAGAAAAUGAAAUUUAGAUGUGAGCGAGCAGUCUCCUUCCUGCUGCUGCAGCUGCAAGCUGCUCCUGCCGCCCAUGCCUUCUCUACUGCCAUGCCUUCCCUACCACAAGGGCCAGAACUCUCACACUGAAAGCCAGAAUAAAUCCUUCCUCUCUUCGGUUGGUUGUUGUCAGGUAAUUGGUCCCAACCAUGGUAAAGCUUAGUGGAAAAGAAAAAAAAGGUAAAAAUCUAUUGUAGACUGAGUGCCCUGAAUCAGAAAACACACAGUCCAGCUGCUCUGAAAUCUAAGCAUCAUCGUGACACUACAAAGAGAAAACUCCAUAUCUGACCACACAUGAGAAUCUACUGAUGAAUACAACCAUGGGUUUACUAAAAAAAGGUGUAUAAAAUGAUCUUCAAGCUGCUCGUAUAAGAUAGGUAUGAAGUGUAAAUUGAAUUUUGGGUCUGACCCCCUAACAUAUUUUCCUGCGUGAAUACAAAUUCCCUCAAGUCCAAAUAACCCCACACUUGGGCGUUUCAGAUAGGGGAUACCCAAUCUGUAAGCCGUUUACUGCCAUAGAGAAGCUAUGAUGCAAGCAGAGCCUACUAACAACUUGGCCAAAACACUUCUAAUAACAGAACUUCACAUGGGUUUCCAUGAGGUCAGAAUGGAAGUAGGAGGAUACAUUGUUUGACGUCAUGGUAUCUGUCCAAUUAAGGUCUGUGUGAGCCUUCCAUCACCAUAACAAAACACAGAACAGAAUCAGCUUUUUAAGGGGGCUUAUUUUGGAUUAUGGUUGCAUAGGAAGAUAUAUAGAUAGGAUCUCCAUGCCAAUAUUUUUAAUGGGUGCUGUCUCUAUUGCUCUGGGCAGGAGAAGGCAGCAGCUGGCAUCAAUGGUGUGGUGAGGAGAGAAUCAAGUUUCCUUCUCCAGUUCAAACAGACGAAAGUGAAGCGACAUAGGCUCAAGGACAGGGUCACUGGGCUAGCGCCACACCAUGGAGCCAAACCCCGAGCCUUCUAAAUUGUGAGCUGGGCAUGGUGGUUCACCCCAGGAAUCGCAGCACUGAGGGAUGAAGGCGAGAGAGUCACUGUGGGUGUGACAUCAGUCUGGCCUGAAGUCUGAGACUGUUUUUUUAAAAAGAAAACAUUUUUUUAUGUCAUAUAUUUAAUUAUAUAAAGAUUCUGUUGUUUUGUUGUUGUUGUUGUUAAAAUUCAGCCAGGAAAUUUCCAUCUGUCUGGUGUUAAUUGGUUGUUUUUCAGCACUAAUUGGGAAAUGAUAUAUUUUUAUUGUUUUAUAAAUAGAGUAAAACCCCUCAGAAACUGCUGGGGAAAUUUAAACAAGGAAAGCAAUUCUAUGUCCUUGCUUGACACCAGUUUGUCCCAGAGGUGACACAACUGUGUAGUUUUUGAAAACACUGGGCAUUUAUAUAUAUAUGAGACAAAACCCCACUGUAUAGCCCUGGCUAACUCGAAACUCACUAUGUAAAUCAGGCUGGGCUUUGACACACAGAGCUCUGCCUUUGCCUACUCAGUGUUGGGAUUUAACACCCACACCACCAUAGCCAGCCUUCUCUCCAAGGGGCAAAUUUCUUUCUGAAGCAACUUCCUCAUUUAUUAACAGUAUUGCUUCCAGACCCCGUGUGUGUGUGUGUGUGUGUGUGUGUGUGUGUGUGUGUGUGUACAGAUAUGUGUUUGCAAGUAUUUAGACACAAGUUGAUGCAGACUACACCAGUUUCAUGAAAUUGUUCCCAUGUCAGUGGCUAGUCUGAGCCUUUUGUACUUGUAAACAGCUGGCUGUAAACUGGGGAUUCCCAUACUCUCCUCUUCAGCCCCAUAAUUAUCAUGGUGAUUUGCAACCUGUAGGUAAUGACCCGUUUGGCUCAUAUAUCAGAUAUUCUGCAUGUCAGAUAUUUAUAUUUUGAUUCAUAACAAUAGUAAAAUUAUAGUUAUGAAGUAGUAAUGUAAAUAGUUACACUGUGGGGGUCACCACAACACGAGGAACUGUGUUAAAUGGCUUCAGCAAUAGGAAGGUUGAGAGCCACUGAUUUAUUAGGUCAUUUCAUGGAUCGUGGGGAUGCUUUCUACUUUCAUCUAUUGUUUAUUACAAAAGAUGUAGACAGACAGAUAGAUAGACAGACUCACAGAUAAAUAGAAAAAUAGAUGACAGAAAGAUAGAAAGUUAGGUAAAAAGAUAAAAAGAUAGGUAGAUGCUAGAAAGAUAGAUAGACUCAAAGACAAAUAGAAAGAUAGAUAAUAGAGAAAGGUGGAAAGAAAAAUAGAUAGAUGAUGGAAAGAUAGGUAGAUAGACUGACAGAAUGA
rnacentral:lncRNA from 1 species